rnacentral:rRNA from 1 species
AGUGAACGCUGGCGGUAGGCCUAACACAUGCAAGUCGAACGGCAGCACAGUAAGAGCUUGCUCUUACGGGUGGCGAGUGGCGGACGGGUGAGGAAUACAUCGGAAUCUACUUUUUCGUGGGGGAUAACGUAGGGAAACUUACGCUAAUACCGCAUACGACCUAUGGGUGAAAGCAGGGGAUCUUCGGACCUUGCGCGAUUGAAUGAGCCGAUGUCGGAUUAGCUAGUUGGCGGGGUAAAGGCCCACCAAGGCGACGAUCCGUAGCUGGUCUGAGAGGAUGGUCACGCCCACUUGAACCUGAACACCGUCCCGACUCCUACGGGGAGGCACCGGUGGGAAUAUUGGACCAUGGGGGCCAGCCCUGUCCCGCCCUACCGCGUUGGUUGAAGAGGCCUUUCGGUUUUAAAAGCCCUUUGUUGGGAAAGAAAAGCAGCAGGUUAAUACCCCGCUGUUCUGACGGUACCCAAAGAAUAAGCACCGGCUAACUUCGUG